UCUUUUCCUUCUCCUCUAUAGAUGUCCAAGAGUUGGACAAGCUUCUCUAUCUCCUUCUCCUCUAUAAUCAGUCCAAAAAUUGGUUGGAAAGAAAAGAAAAGAGAUUGAAUCUCUUGUUCCUUUUCUUUAGAUCUUCUUCUUUCUCUUGAGAAGAGAAAGAGAAAAGAAGUCAGAUUAGAUCCAAUUUCUUGAUUCUCUUAUAAAUCUCUUUGAUUUUUUUAAGAAGAGAAUCAAAAGAGAUCAAAGAUUCAAUAAUUCAAAAAGUGAUCUCUGCAAGGGAGCUAGCACCCC
rnacentral:lncRNA from 1 species